CAGAAGUCUGGAUCAGUGAUGGCUGGAACUCAUCAGUCAAGCGCCGGGCACAGGCGUAUUUUCUGGGCCACAACGGAAACCACCACCGGGGGCUUGGAGCUAAAAGGACUCAAAGCCAUCGCCUCUGGAGAGUGAGCAAAGAGAUGGGCUCGCCUGACGCCGCCCUGCACCCCGACAGGGAGGAAAGGCGGGAGAGUGGUGACAAGGCCGGGCCGGAGACACCCCCACGGAGUCGGAUAAGCCGGAGCCAGCCCCAGUCUGCGCGGCCGGGAGAGCGGCUUUCAGGACACGCUGACGCGCGGGGAAAUACUAACUUCGCGUUUGCGCCCCAGCCAGCCAAGUGAGGCUGCAUCUCCCCGGAGAUGCCGCCGUGGGGGAGGCGACGCAAGCCGCCCGCCCCGCCCCCGCGGCCGCUGCUUCAGCAGUGAUUCUUCCCGCUGCGUGCCGACUUAUUCCCGCAGACCCUGGUGAAGGCAGAGAGGACGCAGGCGAGGAGCGCCUGCUCCCGGUCGGCCGAGAUGGGACGCUUCGCCUUGAGUCUCGCGGAGAGGGGGCCGGGAGGCAGGACAGGGAGGCCCACGUGGGGCAGGGCAGAGAGGCCGCGUCUCGGGCACGUGCCCAGCGCUGCUGAGUCCCUCUCGGGCACACGUCUCCCAGUCCACAAUGCCCCCUGGAGCGGCGGACCUGGAGCACGAGGGCCAGCCAACGGGCAGAGGCCCAAGAGCCCCUUACUCGUGGCUGGCGAGUCCGCCCUGCCCUCACCCACAGCCGUGACGGGACUGGACACACAGCAACAGGCGCGACAGCACCGCGAGUGGCCCCGGGCGCGGGCCGCUGGCCGGGACACCGGACUUCUCACGUAGGUUUCCCCGCGACGCGGUGGGAAGAAUCAGACACAGAGAGGCCCCGGCCGCACAGCCACGGGCCCCGGAGCUGGGCACCCAUCGCUCAACCCGCGUGUGUCGGGGGGACCUCCUCCCUCCCGCCUCCUGCCUCCCUCUGGCCUCAAGCGCUGACCCCCGGUCCGAGGCUUCCUUCUCUGGGAGGUGCCACCUCCAGCCCUGCCUGCUCGGCCGCUGCCCGAGGGCCCCACACCCACAAUCUGCUUGGAACGUGUUCAGGAUCUCAUCGGCGAGCACCACCUCCGCUGGCCUCGGCCCCGGCUCCGACCCGGAUGAGCGGGCAGCAGCCUGCUGGCCCGCGCCCUGGUCAGCGCCGCCACUACUCCCCCGCCCAGGCGGGGGUCAGUCAGUCACGCACACUGCAGCCCCCGCUGCGGCUCGCUGAGGCUCGUGCCGGACGCGGGGCCCGGCCCGUUGGGAGCACAGCUGGAAAGCGCGCCGCGGGCCUGUGCGCCUGCUGCUCUCUGCCGGCACCUACAGGGCACGCCUCACCCCGUGGCCGCCUCUCGGCCCUGACCGCGGCACUGGCGAUGGCCAGCAGCCUGCCGUAUCUUUCGCCCGGGCGGAGCCGAGGAUGACAGGCGUUGAGGCCCGACAGACACGCUUCCAGCUGAGGAGCAACAGCGCAUUCCCGACAGCAAAGCCGGUGCUGCGAGAUGCCGCCGUUUGUGUUUUUAGAAGGUGACGCCGUCCCAGCACGGUGUGACUCGGCAAUACGGCGCACUCUUCAGCCCCGGUGCCCAGCGCUGGGCCUCCGCCCAGCACCGCCUACACGUCCGUAGCCUCAGCUUCCUCUCGCCCAUGUAGAAUUUCCCGGAAAAGUCUAGACUACAGAGCAUUUAUCUUCACAAGAACUUUCUUGCCAUGACAAGAAGUACUAAGAAACAGUCACGGCCCUCCCCGGUGGCGCAAGGGGUUAAGUCUCAAGCUAUGGCAGCCGCUGCAGCACGAGUUCGA